UACGGAGGGAGCUAGCGUUGUUCGGAUAUACUGGGCGUAAAGCGCACGUAGGCGGCGCCGUAAGUCAGGGGUGAAAUCCCGGAGCUCAACUCCGGAACUGCCCUUGAAACUGCAGUGCUAGAAUCUUGGAGAGGCGAGUGGAAUUCCGAGUGUAGAGGUGAAAUGCGUAGAUAUCGAGAGGAACACCUGCGGCGAAGGCGGGUUGCUGGGCUGACACUGACGCUGAAGCGCGAAAGCUAGGGGAGCGAACGGG
rnacentral:rRNA from 1 species